rnacentral:rRNA from 1 species
AAUAUUGGACAAUGGGGGCAACCCUGCUCCAACCAUGCCGCGUGUGUGAAGAAGGUCUUCGGAUUGUAAAGCACUUUAAGUUGGGAGGAAGGGCUUUAGGUUAACACCCUGAAGUUUUGACGUUACCAACAGAUUAAGCACCGGCUAACUCUGUGCCAGCAGCCGCGGUAAUACAGAGGGUGCAAGCGUUAAUCGGAAUUACUGGGCGUAAAACGGGCGUAGGUGGUUCAGUAAGAUGGGUGUGAAAACCCCGGGCUUAACCUAGGAACUGCUUUCAUAACUGCUGAGCUAGAGUACGGUAGAGGGUAGUGGAAUUUCCUGUGUAGCGGUGAAAUGCGUAGAUAUAGGAAGGAACACCAGUGGCGAAGGCGACUACCUGGACUGAUACUGACACUGAGGUGCGAAAGCGUGGGGAGCAAAC